UACAGAGGGUGCAAGCGUUAAUCGGAUUUACUGGGCGUAAAGCGUGCGUAGGCGGUUCGUUAAGUCGAUUGUGAAAGCCCUGGGCUUAACCUGGGAAUUGCAGUCGAUACUGGCGGACUAGAGAACGGUAGAGGGAGGCGGAACUCCAGGUGUAGCGGUGAAAUGCGUAGAUAUCUGGAAGAACACCGAUGGCGAAGGCAACCUCCUGGGCCUGUUCUGACGCUGAGGCACUAAAGCGUGGGUAGCAAACAGG
rnacentral:rRNA from 1 species